GCUGUCUAGUAUAAGCAAUUAUACCGUGAAACUGCGAAUGGCUCAUUAAAUCAGUUAUCGUUUAUUUGAUAAUACCUUACUACUUGGAUAACCGUGGUAAUUCUAGAGCUAAUACAUGCUGAAAAUCCCGACUUCGGAAGGGAUGUGUUUAUUAGAUAAAAAACCAAUGCCCUUCGGGGCUUUUUGGUGAUUCAUGAUAACUUUACGGAUCGCAUAGCCUUGCGCUGGCGACGGUUCAUUCAAAUUUCUGCCCUAUCAACUUUCGAUGGUAAGGUAUUGGCUUACCAUGGUUUCAACGGGUAACGGGGAAUUAGGGUUCGAUUCCGGAGAGGGAGCCUGAGAAACGGCUACCACAUCCAAGGAAGGCAGCAGGCGCGCAAAUUACCCAAUCCCGACACGGGGAGGUAGUGACAAUAAAUACUGAUACAGGGCUCUUUUGGGUCUUGUAAUUGGAAUGAGUACAAUUUAAACCUCUUAACGAGGAACAAUUGGAGGGCAAGUCUGGUGCCAGCAGCCGCGGUAAUUCCAGCUCCAAUAGCGUAUAUUAAAGUUGUUGCAGUUAAAAAGCUCGUAGUUGAAACUUGGGUCUGGCUGGCGGGUCCGCCUCACCGCGUGCACUCGUCCGGCCGGGCCUUCCUUCUGAAGAACCUCAUGCCCUUCACUGGGCGUGUUGGGGAAUCAGGACUUUUACUUUGAAAAAAUUAGAGUGUUCAAAGCAGGCCUUUGCUCGAAUACGUUAGCAUGGAAUAAUAAAAUAGGGCGUGCGUUUCUAUUUUGUUGGUUUCUAGAGACGCCGCAAUGAUUAACAGGAACAGUCGGGGGCAUCAGUAUUCAGUUGUCAGAGGUGAAAUUCUUGGAUUUACUGA
rnacentral:rRNA from 1 species